AGUGGCGGACGGGUGAGUAACACGUAAGAAUUUGCCUUUAGGAGGGGGACAACAACUGGAAACGGUUGCUAAUACCCCAUAUGCUUUCGAGUGAAACGGAUUUUUCCGCCUAAAGAGAAGCUUGCGGCUGAUUAGCUUGUUGGUGAGGUAAUGGCUCACCAAGGCGACGAUCAGUAUCUGGUUUGAGAGGACGAUCAGACACACUGGAACUGAGACACGGUCCAGACUCCUACGGGAGGCAGCAGUGGGGAAUUUUCCGCAAUGGGCGAAAGCCUGACGGAGCAAUACCGCGUGAGGGAUGACGGCCUAUGGGUUGUAAACCUCUUUUUUCAGGGAGGAAUCAAAUGACGUGUACCUGAAGAAUAAGCAUCGGCUAACUCCGUGCCAGCAGCCGCGGUAAGACGGGGGAUGCAAGUGUUAUCCGGAAUCACUGGGCGUAAAGCGUCUGUAGGUGGUCAAAUAAGUCAACUGUUAAAUCUUGAGGCUCAACCUCAAAAUCGCAGUCGAAACUAUUAGACUAGAGUAUAGUAGGGGUAAAGGGAAUUUCCAGUGGAGCGGUGAAAUGCGUAGAGAUUGGAAAGAACACCGAUGGCGAAGGCACUUUACUGGGCUAUUACUAACACUCAGAGACGAAAGCUAGGGUAGCAAAUGGGAUUAGAUACCCCAGUAGUCCUAGCCGUAAACAAUGGAUACUAGAUGU
rnacentral:rRNA from 1 species